rnacentral:rRNA from 1 species
CCUACGGGAGGCAGCAGUGAGGAAUAUUGGUCAAUGGGCGGGAGCCUGAACCAGCCAAGCCGCGUGAGGGAAGAAGGUACAGCGUAUCGUAAACCUCUUUUGUCAGGGAACAAAGGCGGGGACUAGUCCCCGGAUGAGGGUACCUGAAGAAAAAGCAUCGGCUAACCCCGUGCCAGCAGCCGCGGUAAUACGGGGGAUGCGAGCGUUAUCCGGAUUUGUUGGGGUUAAGGGGUGCGAAGGCGGUCUGUUAAGUCAGCGGUAAAAGCCCGGGGCUCAACCCCGCCGAGCCGUUGAAACUGGCGGGCUGGAGUUGGAGAGAGGUACGCGGAAUGCGCGGUGUAGCGGUGAAAUGCGUAGAUAUCGCGCAGAACCCCGAUUGCGAAGGCAGCGUACCGGCUCCACACUGACGCUGAGGCACGAAAGCGUGGGUAGCGAACAGGAUUAGAUACCCCGGUAGUC